rnacentral:ncRNA from 3 species
UACGGGGGGAGCAAGCGUUGUUCGGAUUUACUGGGCGUAAAGGGCGCGUAGGCGGUCAGCACAAGUCAGUUGUGAAAUCUCCGGGCUUAACUCGGAAAGGUCAACUGAUACUGUGCGACUAGAGUGCAGAAGGGGCAACUGGAAUUCUCGGUGUAGCGGUGAAAUGCGUAGAUAUCGAGAGGAACACCUGCGGCGAAGGCGGGUUGCUGGGCUGACACUGACGCUGAGGCGCGAAAGCCAGGGGAGCGAACGGG